UGUAGUUUUCAUGAGUUUCAAAGAAUCUUCUUUAUUCCCCUUCUCUGAGUUUUAUUUGGGCUAUGACAUUCCAAGGGCCGGCUCUGAGGCCAGCCAGCCUGCAGACCUAUGGUGACAGGACCCCAAGGUCCCGCCUGGCUCUCGGGUCCACAAUGUUGUGUAGCAACCUCUCAGGACGAUGACAUUUAGAAGAAGCAUAAUGUGGACCUUCAAGGAAGCACAAACUUGUUCUUGGUGUUAAUGUAUGACAUGCAAUUCUGCACCCAAAUUAUGUAAUGCUCCUCAUUGAGGCAGAAGUCUUCAAAUGGGACUGCUCACCUAGUCCUGCCUUCUACAGUUGUGACCCUAAUAGUCAGGUAGUGUCCA
rnacentral:lncRNA from 1 species